AAAUUGAAGAGUUUGAUCAUGGCUCAGAUUGAACGCUGGCGGCAGGCCUAACACAUGCAAGUCGAACGGUAGCACAGAGAGCUUGCUCUCGGGUGACAAGUGGCGGACGGGUGAGUAAUGUCUGGGAAACUGCCCGAUGGAGGGGGAUAACUACUGGAAACGGUAGCUAAUACCGCAUAACGUCGCAAGACCAAAGAGGGGGACCUU
rnacentral:rRNA from 1 species